GGAAGUAAAAGUCGUAACAAGGUCUCCGUUGGUGAACCAGCGGAGGGAUCAUUACCGAGUACUAUAACUCAUAACCCUUUGUGAACCUUUAUACCUGUUGCUUCGGCGGCGCGCCUCCCGGGGCGUGCCCGCCGGCAUUAUCAGAAUCUCUGUUCGAACCCGACGAUACAUCUGAGUGUUCUAAGCGAACUGUUAAAACUUUCAACAACGGAUCUCUUGGCUCCAGCAUCGAUGAAGAACGCAGCGAAACGCGAUAUGUAAUGUGAAUUGCAGAAUUCAGUGAAUCAUCGAAUCUUUGAACGCACAUGGCGCCUUCCAGUAUCCUGGGAGGCAUGCCUGUCCGAGCGUCGUUUCAACCCUCGAGCCCCCGUGGCCCGGCGUUGGGGAUCUGCCCAGGCAGUCCCCGAAAACCAGUGGCGGACCCGUUGGGCCCUUCCUUUGCGUAGUAACAUCUGCCUCGCAUCGGGAGCCUGCGGGCUAUCCGGCCUCUAAACCCCCCUCAAGCCCGCUCCGGCGGCACCAAGGUUGACCUCGGAUCAGGUAGGAAUACCCGCUGAACUUAAGCAUAUCAAUAAGCGGAGGAAAAGAAACCAACAGGGAUUGCCUCAGUAACGGCGAGUGAAGCGGCAACAGCUCAAAUUUGAAAUCUGGCUCCUUCGGGGCCCGAGUUGUAAUUUGCAGAGGAUGCUUCGGGUACGGGUCCCUUCCGAGUUCCCUGGAACGGGACGCCAUAGAGGGUGAGAGCCCCGUCUGGUAGGACACCCAGCCCGUGUGAAGCUCCCUCGACGAGUC
rnacentral:sRNA from 1 species